rnacentral:rRNA from 1 species
UACGUAGGGGGCAAGCGUUAUCCGGACUUACUGGGUGUAAAGGGAGCGUAGACAGCGAUGCAAGCCAGAUGUGAAAGCCCGGGGCUCAACCCCGGGACUGCAUUUGGAACUGUAUAGCUAGAGUGUCGGAGAGGCAGGCGGAAUUCCUAGUGUAGCGGUGAAAUGCGUAGAUAUUAGGAGGAACACCAGUGGCGAAGGCGGCCUGCUGGACGAUGACUGACGUUGAGGCUCGAAAGCGUGGGGAGCAAACAGG